GACGAACGCUGGCGGCGUGCUUAACACAUGCAAGUCGAACGCUGAAGCCUAGCUUGCUGGGUGGAUGAGUGGCGAACGGGUGAGUAACACGUGAGUAACCUGCCCUCUUCUUUGGGAUAACGCCCGGAAACGGGUGCUAAUACUGGAUAUUCACUGAUCUUCGCAUGGGGGUUGGUGGAAAGGUUUUUUCUGGUGGGGGAUGGGCUCGCGGCCUAUCAGCUUGUUGGUGGGGUGAUGGCCUACCAAGGCUUUGACGGGUAGCCGGCCUGAGAGGGUGACCGGUCACAUUGGGACUGAGAUACGGCCCAGACUCCUACGGGAGGCAGCAGUGGGGAAUAUCGCACAAUGGGCGAAAGCCUGAUGCAGCGACGCCGCGUGAGGGAUGGAGGCCUUCGGGUUGUAAACCUCUUUCGCUCAUGGUCAAGCCGCAGCUUUGGGUUGUGGUGAGGGUAGUGGGUAAAGAAGCGCCGGCUAACUACGUGCCAGCAGCCGCGGUAAUACGUAGGGCGCGAGCGUUGUCCGGAAUUAUUGGGCGUAAAGGGCUUGUAGGCGGUUGGUCGCGUCUGCCGUGAAAUCCUCUGGCUUAACUGGGGGCGUGCGGUGGGUACGGGCUGACUUGAGUGCGGUAGGGGAGACUGGAACUCCUGGUGUAGCGGUGGAAUGCGCAGAUAUCAGGAAGAACACCGGUGGCGAAGGCGGGUCUCUGGGCCGUUACUGACGCUGAGGAGCGAAAGCGUGGGGAGCGAACAGG
rnacentral:rRNA from 1 species